rnacentral:rRNA from 1 species
AGUGGCGGACGGGUGAGUAACGCGUAAGAAUCUAACUUCAGGACGGGGACAACAGUUGGAAACGACUGCUAAUACCCGAUGUGCCGCAAGGUGAAACCUAAUUGGCCUGAAGAAGAGCUUGCGUCUGAUUAGCUAGUUGGUAGGGUAAAAGCCUACCAAGGCGACGAUCAGUAGCUGGUCUGAGAGGAUGAGCAGCCACACUGGGACUGAGACACGGCCCAGACUCCUACGGGAGGCAGCAGUGGGGAAUUUUCCGCAAUGGGCGAAAGCCUGACGGAGCAACGCCGCGUGAGGGAGGAAGGUCUUUGGAUUGUAAACCUCUUUUCUCAAGGAAGAAGUUCUGACGGUACUUGAGGAAUCAGCCUCGGCUAACUCCGUGCCAGCAGCCGCGGUAAUACGGGGGAGGCAAGCGUUAUCCGGAAUUAUUGGGCGUAAAGCGUCCGCAGGUGGUCAGCCAAGUCUGCCGUCAAAUCAGGUUGCUUAACGACCUAAAGGCGGUGGAAACUGGCAGACUAGAGAGCAGUAGGGGUAGCAGGAAUUCCCAGUGUAGCGGUGAAAUGCGUAGAGAUUGGGAAGAACAUCGGUGGCGAAAGCGUGCUACUGGGCUGUAUCUGACACUCAGGGACGAAAGCUAGGGGAGCGAAAGGGAUUAGAUACCCCUGUAGUCCUAGCCGUAAACGAUGGAUACUAGGCGUGGCUU